rnacentral:rRNA from 1 species
AACGAACGCUGGCGGCAGGCCUAACGCAUGCAAGUCGAACGCUCGUAGCAAUACGAGAGUGGCAGACGGGUGAGUAACACGUGGGAACCUUCCCUAUGGUUCGGAAUAGCUCAGGGAAACUUGGGGUAAUACCGGAUAAGCCCUUCGGGGGAAAGAUUUAUCGCCAUUGGAUGGGCCCGCGUCGGAUUAGCUAGUUGGUGGGGUAACGGCCUACCAAGGCGACGAUCCGUAGCUGGUCUGAGAGGAUGAUCAGCCACACUGGGACUGAGACACGGCCCAGACUCCUACGGGAGGCAGCAGUGGGGAAUAUUGGACAAUGGGCGCAAGCCUGAUCCAGCCAUGCCGCGUGAGUGACGAAGGUCUUCGGAUUGUAAAGCUCUUUUGGCGGGGACGAUAGUGACGGUACCCGCAGAAUAAGCCCCGGCUAACUUCGUGCCAGCAGCCGCCGUAA